GUUUAAUUUUAUUAUUGAGCAGAAAGGAAUUGGGUAUUUCUUAGUCCCUUUGGAUCUCCCUGGGUUUGCAUCUCUAAUUCUAGACAGUGGGAUGUUGGUACUAGUGAUGGUUACCUCUUUCAGGACUAGUCAUAUGAAUCCCAUGCCGCCUUCUGCAUGUCUUACUCUACUCAUCUGCAUGGAUGGAGGCAAGGAGCGCCAAAGCUUAGAAGAGAAUAGUGGAUAUUUGAACACAACUGGCUCAACCGUAAGACCACCCUUAUCUGCCAACUAGUAAUUGUGUGGCCUCUGGUCUUACUGGCUGUUUCACUUGCUUUUCCU
rnacentral:lncRNA from 1 species